UCCCUGGUAGCUCAGACAGUAAAGCACCUGCCUACAAUACAGGAGACCCAGGUUCAAUCCCUGGAUCGGGAA
rfam:TPA: Bos taurus chromosome 6, whole genome shotgun sequence.